AUUGAACGCUGGCGGCAUGCCUUACACAUGCAAGUCGAACGGCAGCACGGGAGCAAUCCUGGUGGCGAGUGGCGAACGGGUGAGUAAUAUAUCGGAACGUGCCCAGUCGUGGGGAUAACGUAGCGAAAGCUACGCUAAUACCGCAUACGAUCUACGGAUGAAAGCGGGGGAUCGCAAGACCUCGCGCGAUUGGAGCGGCCGAUAUCAGAUUAGGUAGUUGGUGAGGUAAAGGCUCACCAAGCCGACGAUCUGUAGCUGGUCUGAGAGGACGACUAGCCACACUGGGACUGAGACACGGCCCAGACUCCUACGGGAGGCAGCAGUGGGGAAUUUUGGACAAUGGGCGCAAGCCUGAUCCAGCAAUGCCGCGUGCAGGAUGAAGGCCUCGGUUGUAAACUAGCUUUUGUACGGUAACGAAACGGUGAG
rnacentral:rRNA from 1 species